GGACAGCUGCCAAAGGGCUUCCCUUAGGGGACCUAUUAUACCACUUCCCGGAAUAGAAGACAAGAAGGAGGUUUGACAUCACUCGUGACACAAGAAGGUCAGCUCACCAAAGGGGGGAAGAAAGGUCAGCACUUGAGAGGCUUGCUUCGCUCAAAGGUGGGAAGAAAGGUCAGCACUUGAGAGGCUUGCUUCGGUAGGAGUCAAAAAGAAAAGGCUCAAGAAGGAACUGCACUCGAAGAAUGGAAAGGCAGGCUGCGAAGGCGCUAAUACGAUUGUUCUCGAAGCAAAGGCCCAUACAAUUACCUUUUCCUUAUAUAAAUAAUAAAUAAUAAUAAAUAUGCCCUUUGAUCGCU
rnacentral:lncRNA from 1 species